AUUGAACGCUGGCGGCAGGCCUAACACAUGCAAGUCGAAUGGUAACAGGAAACAGCUUGCUGUUUCGCUGACGAGUGGCGGACGGGUGAGUAAUGUCUGGGAAACUGCCUGAUGGAGGGGGAUAACUACUGGAAACGGUAGCUAAUACCGCAUAACGUCGCAAGACCAAAGAGGGGGACCUUCGGGCCUCUUGCCAUCAGAUGUGCCCAGAUGGGAUUAGCUAGUAGGUGGGGUAACGGCUCACCUAGGCGACGAUCCCUAGCUGGUCUGAGAGGAUGACCAGCCACACUGGAACUGAGACACGGUCCAGACUCCUAGGGAGGCAGCAGUGGGGAAUAUUGCACAAUGGGCGCAAGCCUGAUGCAGCCAUGCCGCGUGUAUGAAGAAGGCCUUCGGGUUGUAAAGUACUUUCAGCGGGGAGGAAGGGAGUAAAGUUAAUACCUUUGCUCAUUGACGUUACCCGCAGAAGAAGCACCGGCUAACUCCGUG
rnacentral:rRNA from 1 species